rnacentral:rRNA from 1 species
AUUGAACGCUGGCGGCAGGCCUAACACAUGCAAGUCGAGCGGAUGAAGGGAGCUUGCUCCUGGAUUCAGCGGCGGACGGGUGAGUAAUGCCUAGGAAUCUGCCUGGUAGUGGGGGAUAACGUCCGGAAACGGGCGCUAAUACCGCAUACGUCCUGAGGGAGAAAGGGGGGGAUCUUCGGACCUCACGCUAUCAGAUGAGCCUAGGUCGGAUUAGCUAGUUGGGGGGGUAAAGGCCUACCAAGGCGACGAUCCGUAACUGGUCUGAGAGGAUGAUCAGUCACACUGGAACUGAGACACGGUCCAGACUCCUACGGGAGGCAGCAGUGGGGAAUAUUGGACAAAGGGCGAAAGCCUGAUCCAGCCAUGCCGCGUGUGUGAAGAAGGUCUUCGGAUUGUAAAGCACUUUAAGUUGGGAGGAAGAGCAGUAAGUUAAUCCCUUGCUGUUUUGACGUUACCAACAGAAUAAGCACCGGCUAACUUCGUG